ensembl:lncRNA
CUCGCAACACAAGCCUGUGACCAUCUGCACCCAGCUCACAGCAAAGCAGGAACCGUGAGGAGAGAUCUCCAAAAGAUGUGCGGGCAGGUGGGAUGGGCCAUGCCGUGUCCCCAUGUCCAUGUCCUCCUGCUGCUGGUGUUUGGUACUGCUGUGAGCACCCAGGGCAUCUGCAGUUCCACAGCUGAUGGUACUCUCCAGGCUCCAGUCCUAGUCCUUAAUGCUUCCAGAGCUCAGGAAGGGGAAGUUGUCCUGGCUCAGUGUGUCCUUCAGAAGAUGGUUCCUGCUGUGCGAAUUGUCUUCUGCAAGGAUGGAAUGGAGGAUUACAGUGUGAAAGCCCAUCAGGAUACGGUCAUCUACUCCAUGCUGCUGAACAUCUCUGCAAGAAGCAGUGG